UACGAAAGGGGCUAGCGUUGUUCGGAAUUACUGGGCGUAAAGCGCACGUAGGCGGCCUUGUAAGAUGGGGGUGAAAACCCUGGGCUCAACCCAGGAACUGCCUUCAUGACUGCAAAGCUCGAGGAUGUGAGAGGUUGGCGGAAUUCCGAGUGUAGAGGUGAAAUUCGUAGAUAUUCGGAAGAACACCGGUGGCGAAGGCGGCCAACUGGCACAUUUCUGACGCUGAGGUGCGAAAGCGUGGGGAGCAAACAGG
rnacentral:rRNA from 1 species